rnacentral:lncRNA from 1 species
GAUCUGUUUUUAUAAUAAUGGAAAUAAUUGGCAGCAGUCAACAGAAACACCAUAGUUGCUAUUCUCUUUAAUGCAAUUGUCCUGUGAGAAUUCCAGGUAUAAAAAAUGAACCCACCUAGUCAUCCAAUGGGAUAAUAAUCUCUUGAUUUGUGAUUUUAUAUUUACAGAUUCAGCCAUAUCUUCCUAGGACCGAGCAACCAAAACUGGACCAAAGACCUUGGAUCCUCAGCAAUGGGGGUGCAUCUGGUGAUGGUGUUCAUGCUAAAUUUGUGCCAAGGGACACCUGUUCUUGUGGGAGAAUUAAUAAAUAUUUCACUUCUGUUUAGGUUUCUCAUCUGGGAACUGAACUGCUAUAAUCAAAUACAUAAAGAAAUUGAGCUGCCCCUGUCUGAAUUCAAUCUUCACCUUCUGAUGCUGAUGAAACAGGAUUCAAUGCAGGGAGUUACCAAAGUCUUCUCCUAUUUGCUGGCUGGUUGGAGAAACCAUUGAGGACUUAGAGUGGGGAGAGCCACAAUACAGAAGGAGCCUGGGUUCCUGAAUGAGCACAUGACAGGUGUGUCAUGAGAAACAUCUGAACUGGACUGUGGUGUGAAUAGGAAACAAAUCUUCACUGUGGUAAGCACCAGAGAACCCAUUGGAACUUAAGGCUUAACUGUUAUAGUAGUAACUGGUGUUACUAUAGACACUGC